rnacentral:rRNA from 1 species
CGGGUGAGUAACGCGUGGGUAACCUGCCCUGUACACACGGAUAACAUACCGAAAGGUAUGCUAAUACGAGAUAAUAUGCUUUUAUCGCAUGGUAGAAGUAUCAAAGCUUUUGCGGUACAGGAUGGACCCGCGUCUGAUUAGCUAGUUGGUAAGGUAACGGCUUACCAAGGCGACGAUCAGUAGCCGACCUGAGAGGGUGAUCGGCCACAUUGGAACUGAGACACGGUCCAAACUCCUACGGGAGGCAGCAGUGGGGAAUAUUGCACAAUGGGCGAAAGCCUGAUGCAGCAACGCCGCGUGAGCGAUGAAGGCCUUCGGGUCGUAAAGCUCUGUCCUCAAGGAAGAUAAUGACGGUACUUGAGGAGGAAGCCCCGGCUAACUACGUGCCAGCAGCCGCGGUAAUACGUAGGGGGCUAGCGUUAUCCGGAAUUACUGGGCGUAAAGGGUGCGUAGGUGGUUUCUUAAGUCAGAGGUGAAAGGCUACGGCUCAACCGUAGUAAGCCUUUGAAACUGGGAAACUUGAGUGCAGGAGAGGAGAGUGGAAUUCCUAGUGUAGCGGUGAAAUGCGUAGAUAUUAGGAGGAACACCAGUUGCGAAGGCGGCUCUCUGGACUGUAACUGACACUGAGGCACGAAAGCGUGGGGAGCAAACAGGAUUAGAUACCCUGGUAGUCCACGCCGUAAACGAUGAGUACUAGCUGUCGGAGGUUACCCCCUUCGGUGGCGCCAGCUAACGCCAUUAA